ACCUACGGGAGGCAGCAGUAGGGAAUCUUCCACAAUGGGCGAAAGCCUGAUGGAGCAACGCCGCGUGGGUGAAGAAGGUCUUCGGAUCGUAAAACCCUGUUGUUAGAGAAGAAAGUGCGUGAGAGUAACUGUUCACGUUUCGACGGUAUCUAACCAGAAAGCCGCGGCUAACUACGUGCCAACAGCCGCGGUAAUACGUAGGUGGCAAGCGUUAUCCGGAUUUAUUGGGCGUAAAGGGAACGCAGGCGGUCUUUUAAGUCUGAUGUGAAAGCCUUCGGCUUAACCGGAGUAGUGCAUUGGAAACU
rnacentral:rRNA from 1 species